rnacentral:rRNA from 1 species
UACCUGCAACUCAAGUGGUGACCACUAUUAUUGGGCCUAAAACGUUCGUAGCCGGUUUAUUAAAUGCUUGGGUAAAUCGUGUAGCUUAACUAUACGAAUUCCGGGUAGACUGAUAGACUUGAGACCGGGAGAAGCUAGAGGUACUCCUGGGGUAGAGGUGAAAUUCUGUAAUCCUGGGGGGACCACCAGUGGCGAAGGCGUCUAGCUAGAACGGGUCCGACGGUGAGGAACGAAGCCCUGGGGCGCAAACCGGAUUAGAUACCCGGGUAGUCCAGGGUGUAAACGCUGCUUGCUUGAUGUUAGUUGGGCUCCGAGCCCAAUUAGUGUCGGAGAGAAGUUGUUAAGCAAGCUGCCUGGGAAGUACGAUCGCAAGAUUGAAACUUAAAGGAAUUGGCGGGGGAGCACAGCAACGGGUGGAGCGUGCGGUUU